rnacentral:misc_RNA from 1 species
GGCGACCCCGGCGAGCUUGGCAACUGGCCCAACUUCCCCGACUUCACUCUCCCGGGCAUGGGUCCGCCCGCGUAAAUGCUUCCAAAGUCCCUGCAAGCCGUAGCCUAAGCCUAAGCCAUCGUCUACCGUGGACUAUAGGAUGAUCUAUGCCCCAUCGUUCGACCCAGUUACUGCGCUCCCAUCGUUCGACCCAGUUACUGCGCU